UAACUUGAUUCUCUACACUCAUUUAUUUAUGACAGAUUCACAUAUAACUACUCAGAAUAAUUCAUUAUCGCAAGCCCGACUAUAUCAAUUCAUAAGAAAUAUACAGGUGACCACAAUUGGUAAAGGGAAACUGGAA
rfam:Populus trichocarpa scaffold_6_contig_15, whole genome shotgun sequence.